rnacentral:rRNA from 1 species
AUUGAACGCCGGCGGUAUGCUUAACACAUGCAAGUCGAACGAUGAGAAAGAGCUUGCUCUUUCGAUUAGUGGCGGACGGGUGCGUAACGCGUAGGAAUCUACCUAUUAGUGGGGGACAACUUAGGGAAACUUAAGCUAAUACCGCAUACGCCCUACGGGGGAAAGAAGGGGAUCGCAAGACCUUUUGCUAAUAGAUGAGCCUGCGUAGGAUUAGCUAGUUGGUGGGGUAAAAGCUCACCAAGGCGACGAUCCUUAACUGGUUUGAGAGAAUGAUCAGUCACACUGGAACUGAGACACGGUCCAGACCCCUACGGGAGGCAGCAGUGGGGAAUAUUGGACAAUGGGCGAAAGCCUGAUCCAGCAAUACCGCGUGUGUGAAGAAGGCCUUAGGGUUGUAAAGCACUUUCAAUUGGAAGGAAAACCUCGAAGCUAAUACCUUCGAGUUUGACAUUACCUUUAGAAGAAGCACCGGCUAACUCCGUGCCAGCAGCCGCCGUAAGAC